AGUGAACGCUGGCGGUAGGCCUAACACAUGCAAGUCGAACGGCAGCACAGUAAGAGCUUGCUCUUACGGGUGGCGAGUGGCGGACGGGUGAGGAAUGCAUCGGACUCUACUUUUUCGUAGGGGUUCACGUAGGGGAACUUACGCUAAUACCGCAUCCGCCCUACGGGUGAAAGCAGUGGAUCUUCUGACCUUGCGCGAUUGAAUGAGCCGCUGUCGGAUUGGCUAGUUGGCGGGGUAAAGGCCCACCCAGGCGCCGAUCCGUAGCUGGUCUGAGAGGAGGAUCAGCCACACUGGAACGUGGACAGGGUCCAUGGGCCUGCGGGAGGCAGCAGUGGGGAAUGGGGGGCAGUGGGCGCAAGCCUGACCCAACCAGAGCGCGUGUGUGAAGAAGGCGUUGGGGUUGUAAAGCCGUUUUGUUGGGAAAGAAAAGCUGCAGGUUAAGACCCCGCGGGACUGACGGUACCCAAUGAAUAAGCACCGGCUAACUACGUG
rnacentral:rRNA from 1 species